GGACUACUGGGGUAUCUAAUCCUGUUUGCUCCCCUAGCUUUCGUGCCUCAGUGUCAGGAGUCGUCCAGGGACUCGCCUUCGCCACUGGUGUUCCUCUCGAUAUCUACGCAUUUCACUGCUACACCGAGAAUUCCAGUCCCCCCUCCGACCCUCCAGCCGGAUAGUAUCCAAUGCCAUUUCGAAGUUGAGCUUCGAGCUUUCACAUCAGACUUACCCGACCACCUACGCACCCUUUACGCCCAGUGAAUCCGAACAACGCUUGGGACCUCUGUAUUACCGCGGCUGCUGGCAC
rnacentral:rRNA from 1 species